AAGAAACAGUGCAACGCCACUUUUGUUUCUUGCUUCUGUAACUCGCUUCUUACCUCACAUAAUUCCUGCCUUAAAAUGUUUAAAAGUAGGAAAAGCCCUUUGUUUGGGGCUCAGACUUUCUGGACAUAUGUCCAGCUGGGCCAGUGAUGACCUUAAUAGACUCUCCUGAACCUUUUUUGGUCUCUCCAGUCUUUGAUUGUCCUGUAACAUUUCUGGGGGCUUAUCCGGGAUUGGAGAUGGCAGAUUUUCUGUCUUCUUUGCCUGUGGGCUAGAGCCCCAGGAUGUGGGAGAUCUGGGGUCCUUGGCACCGCUGGGAGAGUUUCAGCCUGGAAGGAGAAUGGCCCUCCCGCAUUCCAGAGCCUUCCCCUGACAGCACCAAAGGAACCAGUGGAAAGGGUUGCAGGACAGUCACAGGAGCAGUGCACAGACAUCUGAACCAUGGAUGGUAGACAGCUGUCUUCAGCCUGAGACU
rnacentral:lncRNA from 10 species